rnacentral:rRNA from 1 species
GACGAACGCUGGCGGCGUGCUUAACACAUGCAAGUCGAACGGAAAGGCCCUGCUUUUGUGGGGUGCUCGAGUGGCGAACGGGUGAGUAACACGUGAGUAACCUGCCCUUGACUUUGGGAUAACUUCAGGAAACUGGGGCUAAUACCGGAUAGGAGCUCCUGCUGCAUGGUGGGGGUUGGAAAGUUUCGGCGGUUGGGGAUGGACUCGCGGCUUAUCAGCUUGUUGGUGGGGUAGUGGAUUACCAAGGCUUUGACGGGUAGCCGGCCUGAGAGGGUGACCGGCCACAUUGGGACUGAGAUACGGCACAGACUCGUACGGGAGGCAGCAGUGGAGAAUAGUGCACAAUGGGCGGAAGCCUGAUGCAGCAACGCCGCGUGCGGGAUGACGGCAUUCGGGUUGUAAACCGCUUUCGCCUGUGACGAAGCGUGAGUGACGGUAAUGGGUAAAGAAGCACCGGCUAACUACGUG